GUAUACCAGGUAACAGCAGUGCCCAGGUGAGCUGGACCCAGGAGGAGGGCAGGCUCUCAGUGCUGGCAGAACUACAGACCGGAGCUCAUGGCCUGAAGGCUGAGUUUGAAAGGGCCAGGACUGGCGGGGCCUCCCCACGAUGGGAGCUCCAAACCAGGGUACAGCACCAAAGCAAGGCCCUGGUCCAAAGAGGCCUGCCUAGCUCCAUCCAGGCUACAGGGCACUAUCAGGUGCAGCUUCAUCCUCUUCUUCCUCAUCCUUUCUCUUCUUUCUCGCUACUCUAUUGUUGUUAAGAAUGCUGCGUUGAACUUGAUUUUGGACAUACUCCUGGAGAUGACCUAUCAAGAUAUCGAAGAAGAUGUAUCAACGAUGCUCAAAGCUAAGGCUUUUAUAAAUAUAAGAAUAGAAAUUCAUUUGAUUGUCAGGUUUCAAGCCAUGAAAGACAUUCAUAAUUCAGUCUUUACUUCUAUGUAUUGCAGUAUUUUCAGUUUAAUAUUUACUGAGCAAUAUUAUUUUCAUGACCUCUGACUGUAGGAGGAGACAGAGCGUUUGAGUGCAGGGCUGACCAUAGCAGUUGACGAACAGAAGAAGGUGGACGUCCUAGUGGAAGCCGGCAAGGGGAACACCGCCGCCAACCUGACUGUGUCUCUAUUGCACCACCUGAGGCAACUCAAAGGAAUGAUACCUACAUCAUUGCAGGUGACUAACACAUUUGUACAUUGGAAAAUCGCUCAAAAACACAUUUACAACAAGACUCUGAUAUCACAGUUGUUUUCACUCCAAAGAAGAAUAGGAACUGUGCGCUCCAACUCAUGUGCCAUACUGUCUGUGUUAAAUUCCUCCAUCUUCUCCCACUGCUCCCCCUUUAAUAAACAAACUGUGUCAACGGGGGUCUCUGUUUUCACAGAUGAGCUGCACGGGGUACGCCACCAACGGUGCCGCUAAUGACCGCCUCUCGGCCCAGUGCUCCGGAAGCGUCGCCGGUCGACCUGUGGAGGUACGCGCCUUUCGCUCCGAGAGACCACACAGCAGCAGGCUCUGCUACGGCCUAGCGUUAGCCUACCCUAGCAUCACCGCACAGGCCAAAGGCUGCUACAGCCCCAUGGGUCAGGCUGAGCUCAGGGCUAACCUCACCCACUCCUCCCGGCUACUGCAGCUCUCCCUGGGGCUACCCUCCCACUCUAGCCUCAGGCUUCUGCUCCGGCCUGGGCCUAAGCGAUGGGGCCUGGGGUUUGGGUCGGUGGUUGGCCCCUGGAGGGUGGACCUUAGUGGGGGGCUGAGGCAGGAGGCGGCAGGGCUCUAUGCAUGGCACGGCCUGGUUGAGUAUGGGACUCCUCAUGUCACACACAAGGCCGAGAUUAGAGGUCGUGUUCGGGCAGAGCGGUGGUGUUACCUCUGGGUGGAAGUGAGCGGGGUGUGUGACUCGGUCAGAUCCAGCCUGGUGGUGUCGACACAGUGCGGGGGAGAGGUGCGGGUGGCCUGGGUGCGGAUCACUGAAGGGGAAGGGGCACUAGCACCAAGCAGGACAUCUAUGACCAUAAUAGGAAGCGCUGUGAAAGACGGCCUCAGGGGUACUGUGGAUCUUGAAAACAACCAGGAUUCUCUCCACUGCCUGUUAUCCUUGCUACUGAGAGAAAGCCAGGCUGAGCUGGGCUGGACCCUCCACCACCAAUGGGCCACUCUCUCCGCCUCCUCCAUCCCAGAAAGUGUUGACCUGCACGGGUCAGCCCAGCUCCGACGCGCCUCCCUCUCCGGGAACGCCCGGGUUUCCUUGGACGCCCACUCGGCCAACCUGGACGUCACGGCAACUUGGGAGCCCCUUGGCCAAUCCCCAAACGCCGCCCUCAGGGCCGUCCUCCAACAUGACCUUGCCACCCUAAAGCAUGCUGGGAUACCAGAGGACGCCACCCUGAGCGUGUUUGCGGGGCCCACUCAGGCACAGGUGGAGCUGGAGAGUGAUACGUGUUCCAUGCUGACCCACGGGACUAGUCUACAUAGAGGGGAAGACAGAAGGACAUGGACCCUGGUUGUCCGUCAGCGCUGUAACCUACUUAAGACUCUCCUCCCUCCGUACUUCUCAGUGAACGGCUCCUUGGUCCGCUCCGGCUGCACCACGCGCCUGGACACACACCUCCACACCGGGGGAGAGGAGAGGGGGGCCGCCAGCCUGGCCUUAUCCUCCUGCCUCCCCCAGCUCAGCCUCAGGAGCUCCAUCCGUCACUCCCUGGCGGGGCUCCAUGCCCUGGGCCUCCCCCCUCGCAGUGCCCUGGUCCUGGGUAUCUCGACUGGUAAACGCCCUGGGGUAGGGGUGGAGCUGGAGCUGGGGCAGUGCCGGAUCAGGGCUGAUUCGGGGGAGAAUAAGGCUAACUGGGUCGUCAAUGUGACCCACUACUGCCCAGAACUACAGAGCACAGGACUCCCUGCAUCCCUGGCCUUCCAGGGCCUCCUCUCAUUGGUCCCUUGCCAGCUGGCCGUUCACUGUACUCUAAAGAUGGACAACCGUGAACUUAAUCUGGAGCUGGGCCAGUCCUGCAGUCCGGCAGCACACCUCUCUGGCUCCCUGACACACUCCUUCCCUGGGCUCCGGACCAGGGGCCUCCCCCUGAAGACCAGCAUAGAGGUUUGGGCCCCUGAGGGCCCCGGACAGACUGGGGCCCUGUUGAUUAAAGCUGGCUCGUGUCAUAUCAGAGCUAAUGGAGACAUGGGGUCUAAUGGACGGACACAGUGGGCUACGGAGUCAGAUUGUCCGUUGCUACAGGGUCUUGACCUCCCCUCCCAGGUCCACCUGAAUGGCUCUGUGGGAACAGAUGACCACAACAUCUGGGUGGCCAUUUUGGAUGCCAGUGUGGAGGGGCAACAGAGGGGUUCCCUGAGGCUGACCGCAGGGGCCAGGUCUGGGCUGAGGCUAGAGGGACACCUCAUUCACAACCUCACGGCCCUUGAGGGGAUACCGGGCCAGAGUAGGAUAGUGGUGACCGGUAGUGGUAGGGCAGACUCACAGGGCUACGAUACAGAGGUGGAGCUACAGCUGGGGGAAUGUGCUGUGAGAGGCUCAGCGAGAGUGAUGACAAGGGACAACCUGAAGGGGGCAGUGGUGUACCACAACAACUGCACUGCACUACAGGUACCGGCACAUUUUGAUGAAAGUAUUCUAUUCUAUUCCACUACCAACACCUUUGACACUGUCUCGCACUGGGUACUGAUUUACCCUAAAGCACAGAAUUAG
rnacentral:lncRNA from 1 species